rnacentral:sRNA from 1 species
GCAUAAGGAUGAGAAGCUUCGACUAAGGUUCGAUUCGAGCGCAGCGAGAAAGCGUUGCCGCAGGCAACGACCCGAAGGGCGAAGCGCGCAGCGCUGAGUCAUCCUUCCCCCACCACCA